UACGUAGGGGGCAAGCGUUGUCCGGAAUCAUUGGGCGUAAAGAGCGCGUAGGCGGUCCGAUAAGUCGGCUGUGAAAGUCAGGGGCUCAACCCUUGAAAGCCGGCCGAUACUGUCGGACUAGAGUCCGGAAGAGGCAAGUGGAAUUCCCGGUGUAGCGGUGAAAUGCGCAGAUAUCGGGAGGAACACCAAUGGCGAAGGCAGCUUGCUGGGACGGUACUGACGCUGAGGCGCGACAGCGUGGGGAGCAAACAGG
rnacentral:rRNA from 1 species